rnacentral:rRNA from 1 species
UACGUAGGGUGCGAGCGUUGUCCGGAAUUAUUGGGCGUAAAGAGCUUGUAGGCGGUCUGUCGCGUCUGCUGUGAAAAUCCGGGGCUCAACCCCGGACUUGCAGUGGGUACGGGCAGACUAGAGUGUGGUAGGGGAGACUGGAAUUCCUGGUGUAGCGGUGAAAUGCGCAGAUAUCGGGAGGAACACCAAUGGCGAAGGCAGCUUGCUGGGACGGUACUGACGCUGAGG